rnacentral:rRNA from 1 species
UACGAAGGGGGCUAGCGUUGUUCGGAAUUACUGGGCGUAAAGCGCACGUAGGCGGCUUGUUAAGUCAGGGGUGAAAUCCUGGAGCUCAACUCCAGAACUGCCUUUGAUACUGGCGAGCUUGAGUUCGGGAGAGGUGAGUGGAACUGCGAGUGUAGAGGCGAAAUUCGUAGAUAUUCGCAAGAACACCAGUGGCGAAGGCGGCUCACUGGCCCGAUACUGACGCUGAGGUGCGAAAGCGUGGGGAGCAAACAGG